rnacentral:rRNA from 1 species
CACGUAGGCACCAAGCGUUGUCCGGAUUUAUUGGGCGUAAAGAGCUCGUAGGCGGUUGAGUAAGUCGGGUGUGAAAACUCUGGGCUUAACCCAGAGCCGCCACCCGAUACUGCUCUGACUUGAGUUCGGUAGGGGAGCAGGGAAUUCCUAGUGUAGCGGUGAAAUUCGUAGAUAUGGGGAGGAACACCGGUGGCGAAGGCGGCCACCUGGACGGUAACUGACGCUGAGACGCGAAAGCGUGGGGAGCAAACAGG